AUUGAACGCUGGCGGCAGGCUUAACACAUGCAAGUCGAACGAGCGGCGGACGGGUGAGUAAUGUAUGGGGAUCUGCCUGAUGGCGGGGGCUAACUUCUGGAAACGGUAGCUAAUACCGCAUACCAUCAGAUGAACCCAUAUGGGCUUCGCUUGUAGGUGAGGUAACGGCUCACCUAGGGGACGAUCCCUAGCUGGUCUGCGAGGAUGAUCAGGCACACUGGGACUGAAGCACGGCCCAGACGCCUACGGUAGGCAGCAGUGGGAAAUAUGGCACAAGGGGCGCAAGCCUGAUGCAGCCAUGCCGCGUGUAUGAAGAAGGCCUUCGGUUUGUAAAGUACUUUCAGUCGGGAGGCGUUACCGACAGAAGAAGCACCGGCUAACUCCGUGCCAGCAGCCGCGGUAAUUC
rnacentral:rRNA from 1 species